AACCUCCGCAAUGUGAGAAAUCGCGACGGGGGGAUCCCAAGUGCCAUUCUUAACGGGAUGGCUUUUCAUUAGUGUAAAGAGCUUUUGGAAUAAGAGCUGGGCAAGACCGGUGCCAGCCGCCGCGGUAACACCGGCAGCUCUAGUGGUAGCAAUUUUUAUUGGGCCUAAAGCGUCCGUAGCCGGUUUAAUAAGUCUCUGGUGAAAUCCUGUAGCUUAACUGUGGGAAUUGCUGGAGAUACUAUUAGACUUGAGACCGGGAGAGGUUAGAGGUACUCCCAGGGUAGAGGUGAAAUUCUGUAAUCCUGGGAGGACCGCCUGUUGCGAAGGCGUCUAACUGGAACGGUUCUGACGGUGAGGGACGAAAGUUAGGGGCGCGAAACCGGAUUAGAUACCCGGGUAGUCCUAACUGUAAACGAUGCGGACUUGGUGUUGGGUGGCUUUGAGCUGCUCCAGUGCCGAAGGAAGCUGUUAAGUCCGCCGCCUGGGAAGUACGGUCGCAGACUGAAACUUAAAGGAAUU
rnacentral:rRNA from 1 species